UGCAGCCCUGUCAAAUUCAGUACUCACCUCUGCCCUGGUGGGUCUGCCCCGGUCGGCUGCCACAGCAACAUCUGUAGUUCAUGGGCCCCGCACCUCUACCGCUGGGUGCUGGGGAUAAAAAUAUGCUACAGCCACCC